UUACGGUCAUGUCACGUUGAAACACCGGUGCUCGUUAGCUCACAGUCGGUAAGCAACCUCGAGCAGGGUCUGUACCUAGAUGGGUAACCGUUUGGGAAUAACAAGUGAUGUA